AGUGAACGCUGGCGGUAGGCCUAACACAUGCAAGUCGAACGGCAGCACAGUAAGAGCUUGCUCUUACGGGUGGCGAGUGGCGGACGGGUGAGGAAUACAUCGGAAUCUACUUUUUCGUGGGUGAUAACGUAGGGAAACUUACGCUAAUACCGCAUACGACCUACGGGUGAAAGCAUGGGAUCUUCGGACCUUGCGCGAUUGAAUGAGCCGAUGUCGGAUUAGCUAGUUGGCGGGGUAAAGGCCCACCAAGGCGACGAUCCGUAGCUGGUCUGAGAGGAUGAUCAGCCACACUGGAACUGAGACACGGUCCAGACUCCUACGGGAGGCAGCAGUGGGGAAUAUUGGACAAUGGGCGCAAGCCUGAUCCAGCCAUGCCGCGUGUGUGAAGAAGGUCUUCGGGUUGUAAAGCCCUUUUGUUGGGAAAGAAAAGCAGCAGGUUAAUACCCCGCUGUUCUGACGGUACCCAAAGAAUAAGCACCGGCUAACUUCGUG
rnacentral:rRNA from 1 species